UUCCAGACUCCUACGGGAGGCAGCAGUGAGGAAUAUUGGUCAAUGGCCGGAAGGCUGAGCCAGCCAAGCCGCGUGAAGGACGAAGGUGCCAAGCAUUGUAAACUUCUUUUGUCAAGGGACAAAAUCAGGCUCGAGAGCCUGACCGAGGGUACUUGAAGAAAAAGCAUCGGCUAACUCCGUGCCAGCAGCCGCGGUAAUACGGGGGAUGCGAGCGUUAUCCGGAUUUAUUGGGUUUAAAGGGUGCGCAGGCGGAAGAUCAAGUCAGCGGUAAAAUUGAGGGGCUCAACCUCUUCGAGCCGUUGAAACUGGUUUUCUUGAGUGAGUGAGAAGUAUGCGGAAUGCGUGGUGUAGCGGUGAAAUGCAUAGAUAUCACGCAGAACUCCGAUUGCGAAGGCAGCAUACCGGCGCUCAACUGACGCUCAUGCACGAAAGUGUGGGUAUCGAACAGGAUUAGAUACCCUCGUA
rnacentral:rRNA from 1 species